rnacentral:rRNA from 1 species
GAUGAACGCUGGCGGCGUGCCUAAUACAUGCAAGUCGAGCGGUAAGGCCCUUCGGGGUACACGAGCGGCGGACGGCUGAGUAGCGCGUAGGAACGUACCCCAAAGUGAGGGAUAAGCACCAGAAAUGGUGUCUAAUACCGCAUAUGGUCUUCGGAUUAAAGCCUUCAGGCGCUUUGGGAGCGGCCUGCGUAUGAUUAGCUUGUUGGUGAGGUAAUGGCUCACCAAGGCGAUGAUCAUUAGCUGGUCUGAGAGGAUGAUCAGCCAGACUGGGACUGAGACACGGCCCAGACUCCUACGGGAGGCAGCAGUAGGGAAUUUUCCACAAUGGACGAAAGUCUGAUGGAGCAACGCCGCGUGCAGGAUGAAUGCCUUCGGGUUGUAAACUGCUUUUAUAUGUGACGAUAAUGACGGUAGCAUAUGAAUAAGGAUCGGCUAACUCCGUGCCAGCAGCCGCCGUAA